GUGUCAGCAGCCGCGGUAAUACGAAGGGGGCUAGCGUUGCUCGGAAUUACUGGGCGUAAAGGGCGCGUAGGCGGACAGUUAAGUCAGAGGUGAAAGCCCAGGGCUCAACCCUGGAAUAGCCUUUGAUACUGGCUGUCUUGAGUGCGGGAGAGGUGUGUGGAACUCCGAGUGUAGAGGUGAAAUUCGUAGAUAUUCGGAAGAACACCAGUGGCGAAGGCGACACACUGGCCCGUAACUGACGCUGAGGCGCGAAAGCGUGGGGAGCAAACAGGAUUAGAUACCCGGGUAGUCC
rnacentral:rRNA from 1 species